UCCGCAUAGUCGAGACCGACCGCGACGAUGCGCUUGGACUGCUCCUCGACCUCGAGGCGGAGGUUCAGGCCUUCACGCGGAA
rnacentral:tRNA from 1 species